CCCUUAGAGUUUGAUCCUGGCUCAGAUUGAACGCUGGCGGCAUGCCUUACACAUGCAAGUCGAACGGUAGAGUAGCAAUACUCGAGAGUGGCGAACGGGUGAGUAAUAUAUCGGAACGUGCCCAGUCGUGGGGGAUAACGUAGAGAAAUUUACGCUAAUACCGCAUACGAUCUAAGGAUGAAAGCGGGGGAUCGCAAGACCUCGCGCGAUUGGAGCGGCUGAUAUCAGAUUAGGUUGUUGGUGAGGUAAAAGCUCACCAAGCCGACGAUCUGUAGCUGGUUUGAGAGAACGACCAGCCACACUGGGACUGAGACACGGCCCAGACUCCUACGGGAGGCAGCAGUGGGGAAUUUUGGACAAUGGGCGAAAGCCUGAUCCAGCAAUGCCGCGUGCAGGAAGAAGGCCUUCGGGUUGUAAACUGCUUUUGUACGGAACGAAACGGCUCUUUCUAAUAAAGAGAGCUAAUGACGGUACCGUAAGAAUAAGCACCGGCUAACUACGUGCCAGCAGCCGCGGUAAUACGUAGGGUGCGAGCGUUAAUCGGAAUUACUGGGCGUAAAGCGUGCGCAGGCGGUUAUAUAAGACAGUUGUGAAAUCCCCGGGCUCAACCUGGGAAUUGCAUCUGUGACUGUAUAGCUAGAGUACGGUAGAGGGGGAUGGAAUUCCGCGUGUAGCAGUGAAAUGCGUAGAUAUGCGGAGGAACACCGAUGGC
rnacentral:rRNA from 1 species